CCUACUGAAGGAACGCGGGCUGGGAUGGGGGAGGAGGAAAUCAAACAUACUGUUUUGAAAUGGGUGAAAUGUGAGAGAGGGAAGUGCCGAACGUGGGUUUUGUUGUAAGGAGUUUUUGUUCAUUUCGCUUAAGCCACGUAGGCUACUCCCCAAACAGUGGCUGCUUCCCAAGCAGUGGCUGCUCCCCAGAUUUUUUCAAAAUUCAUAGCGUGUAGAGAGGCCACAGGUCCGUAACCAUCAAAGGUCAAUGCCGACAAAACUAUCAAGAUUGGACCACAGAAAACACCCCAAAACACUGAAGAACAAGAUAAUAGAGCGGGAGCCAUCAACAGCUUGAUCGUAAUAUUCGGUCACCACUUCCUCAUAUGGCUUGCACUGCCUCAACUCAACCUCUCUUCAUCCUCGAACUCUUACAUUCUCACCCAACUCAUCGAACGAAACCAUCACAAGCUUUCAUCUGUUGCACUCAACGGAGGACAUGCCCGUGUUUAUCUUAUGACAGUCAUUUUAAGGCCAAUUUUCCAACGUUCCCGAAGCUCCCUUUGCUCUCUGGCCGUCCAAGCAGAUUCAAUGUAGGAGUACAGAAAGUGGAUGCUUCUGGGGAAGAGGGUGAGUCGCUUGUUUCUGACGCAACGUAUCAGGAGAAAUUUACUUGGUCUUCUGUGAUUUUGCCGUUUCUGUUCCCAGCCUUGGGAGGUUUGUUGUUUGGGUAUGACAUUGGUGCCACCUCCAGUGCUACCAUCUCAUUACAGUCACCUGAGCUCAGUGGAACAACUUGGUUCAAUCUUUCAGCCAUUCAGCUUGGACUUGUGGUUAGUGGUUCCCUUUAUGGAGCUCUUCUUGGUUCCCUUCUUGUCUAUCCAAUUUCAGACUUCCUUGGGAGGAGGCGAGAACUUAUCACGGCAGCUGUGCUAUAUGCUCUUGGUGGUCUGACCACUGCCUAUUCUCCAGCCCUUGUUGUUCUUUUAGUGGGACGGCUGCUCUAUGGCCUUGGUAUUGGUUUGGCCAUGCAUGGGGCUCCUCUCUAUAUUGCAGAAACUUGCCCAUCUCAGAUUCGUGGAACUCUAAUAUCUGUAAAGGAGCUCUUCAUAGUUCUUGGGAUUCUGUUGGGCUAUUUUAUUGGAAGCUUUCAGAUUGAUGUAGUUGGAGGGUGGCGUUACAUGUUUGGAGCUAGUGCACCGAUUGCUCUUAUUAUGGGACUCGGCAUGUGGAGUCUUCCACCAUCUCCACGCUGGCUGCUUCUUAGGGCCGUCCAAGGAAAAGGUUUAUUACAAGAUUAUAAAGAGAAAGCAUUUCUUGCUCUGAGCAAACUAAGGGGCCGUCCUCCUGGUGACAAGCUGUCUGAAAGGCAAAUAGAAGACACAUUGGUCUCAUUGAAAUCUGCAUAUGCGGAUCAGGAGUCUGAGGGCAGUUUCUUGGAGGUCUUUCAAGGCUCAAGUUUGAAAGCCUUCCUAAUUGGUGGGGGGCUGGUCCUUUUUCAACAGAUAACUGGGCAACCAAGCGUUCUAUAUUAUGCAGGUCCAAUACUUCAGACUGCUGGGUUUUCUGCGGCCUCUGAUGCUACCCGAGUUUCUGUUGUAAUUGGCGUGUUCAAAUUCCUGAUGACAUGGAUAGCUAUCCUAAAAGUAGAUGAUCUUGGGAGAAGACCCCUGCUAAUCGGAGGAGUCAGCGGGCUUGCUCUUUCUUUAUUUAUGCUUUCUGCUUAUUAUAAAUUUCUCGGAGGGUUCCCUAUUGUUGCUGUAGCCAGUCUACUUCUCUAUGUCGGUUGCUACCAGAUUUCAUUUGGCCCGAUCAGUUGGCUUAUGGUGUCAGAGAUAUUCCCACUUCGGACAAGAGGGCGAGGGAUUAGUCUUGCAGCUCUUACUAACUUUGGCUCAAAUGCCAUUGUAACCUUUGCAUUCUCACCAUUGAAGGAGUUGUUAGGAGCGGAAAAUCUCUUCCUUCUUUUCGGGGCUAUUGCUUUGUUGUCACUUUUGUUUGUAGUGCUCGUUGUCCCGGAGACCAAAGGGCUGAGCUUGGAAGAUAUUGAGUCCAAGCUUUUGAAGUGAAAGCGCAAAUUGAAAAUAUGUACCAGUCGAGCUUCCAAUACACCCAAGUCGUUUUGGUCACCUGUUUGAAGCUUCCUUGAGCCGCCUGUCUUACUGUUUCAUAAAAUCUACCUUAUUAUUUUGUACGUCAAGUAAUGGCUCUUUCAGCCAGAGUGGUAAUUAGCUGAUGGUAUUUUUUUAUAAUCACUCAGGCACCCAAUCAGAAUGGGUUAUGUAAAGAUUUAGUGCAUAUUAUUAGUAAUUUGUGGUUCCAACUACUGGCACAAAUCGUUUUGGCAUUCGCUAGUUUUUA